rnacentral:rRNA from 1 species
UACGAAGGGAGCUAGCGUUGUUCGGAAUUACUGGGCGUAAAGGGCGCGUAGGCGGCUUUGUAAGUCAGAUGUGAAAGCCCCGGGCUCAACCUGGGAACUGCAUUUGAUACUGCAAGGCUAGAGAUCGAGAGAGGAAAGUGGAAUUACGAGUGUAGAAGUGAAAUUCGUAGAUAUUCGUAGGAACACCAGUGGCGAAGGCGACUUUCUGGCUCGAUACUGACGCUAAAGCGCGAAAGCGUGGGGAGCAAACAGG